CGCACUCGGUGGCGGUUGGCGUCGAGACGCUUCGGUUACCGGAGCAGCGUCCCGAGCAUCCCCACGAGGCGGCUGCGCUGUCUCGGGCCGUUACUGUGGGAUUGACUGGGUUCGCGCCGUCCUCUCUCCGGGUCCGCGGUCUGUAGCGGCCUCCACGACCCCACUCCUGGAGGAGAAGAGGGCCGCGCCUCCCGGUAGGCUCGUUGAAAGCUGGCCAGUAAGAAGCACGCCUUUAAGUCCACUUUCCCACUCAUCUGGGAAGCUGAUGUUGGGGACUGUCCACCCUGCUGCUUUAGGUUAAAAAACGGAGCCGUGCACUAGGCAAGCAGAAGCAGGAUCUUCACAAGUUUGGGGCCAGUCUGGUUUAUACAGAGUUUUCUGGGACUUCCCGGGGAGACCUUUUAUCCAAAAUAAAUGAAGACCUCAUCUCAAGGGUUACGGGUGCUUUCGUGAGGAGUGGUUGCCUGGGCUGAGACUCAGUCCCCAGUUGCGAGUGAAGGGGUAGAAACCUUUAGAUUUGAUUCUGGGGUGUGGGAUUGUGUGGAGGUCAGAGGACGAGUUGCGAGUGCUGGGGGUGGAGCGCAAGUGGCCAGCCUUGGUGGCAGGGCCUCUGCUGAGCCAUCUCGCAGAGUCCCCGUUAGUCUUUCCAUGGAUGCCUCUGUCUGACUAGGUUAACCGAAUGUAAGGCGUUUACAAAUCCUGAGCAGAUUUUCAGGGAAGAACUGUAGAAAUGCAAUGCUGUGAGAAAAGUACUUUUUCUAUGGGGUUUCAAGAAAGGAAGAAAAGUCUCCUCUCAGCCUUCCAUCAGCACAAACUCCGCCCUCUUCCAGAACUCAAAUUUGUUCUCAAUGAAUGUUCAGCUUUCCUCAAUGUAUUUGUAAUCUGUGCUUGUGUUGAUAUUUCUAUUCUCGAUCUAGUAUCUCACUGUAGCCCUUCCUCUGAGACCAUUAGCACAACCAAACAGUUGAGAAUGUAAAUUAAUUAAGUUAAAAGCACCAUAUACUACAAAUCUGUUGGUCCCCAAAGCUCAACAGCCAGAUAAGGAGCUUGCAUUAUGUAGGUUCAUGAAGAUUGUCGAUAUUAGUGGUGUUCUUGUUCAUUUAAAAUACUUGAUUUACAUAGGGAGUCUAAGAUAACCCAUCAUAAACUCUGCUUUGUCAUGAAACUUACCAAGUAGGAAGUCAUACAUUCACUCUCAUAUUCGUUGGACAAAUGAUAAUUAUCAACUAGUCCUGAGAAUACUAAAUCAUCAACUAGUCCUGAGGAUAUUAAUCAUCAACUAGUCCUGAGAAACUAAGCUAGGCACUUAAGUAUUAUCUAGCAGGAGACACAAAUAUAAACUUACUGCUACCACUGUGAGAGAAAAAAUUCCCAAAACAAGUGCCUGGUACUAAUGAAAUAUCUAACUCAAGUGUGUGAGAACACAGGUGUCUACCACAAAACCAAAAGACAAGAAGCAAUUAACAAGAUUGGGGGAAGGCUGUAAAAGGUAGAGACAUUAAGGAAGUAGAAAAACAAUUCUGAAGAUAACCUGUGACUGUCCACUUCUCCACUAUUGGUUUUUUUCUUAGUGGGUGAGCUGAGGAGGAGAGGGUGUGAGGUCUCUGGGUGCUUAGAGGCCUAUGGAGUUCAGAGAAAGCUAUGCUUUGAGGACCAAGGCACUCUAGUGCUUUUCCUAAGGGACAAUAUUUCUCAUCCUGUUGACACCAAAAAAAGAAUUCACGGAGGCUUUGAAGUUUGAAGUGGGCUGUGGUUAAAGGGUGAGAGUUUUACCUGUGGAGAGGGAAAGGUUUUCUAAGCAAAGGCAAUCUGUGGUGUAAGACUCAAUCUCAAGUGAGAGUGGUAAGAAAUCUUUAAAACCCAAAGUCAAUACGAAUGCUAUGUACAAGCCUGAAUGCGGAUGGAGGGAAGGACAAAGCAGAUAGGGAGAAAGCCCCGGAGAACACUUGUGUUCAGGCAAAAUGAAAGCCUAACCCAGGAGGCAGCCAUGGAAAUGGAGAAGGGAUCUUAGUUGAUCUGGGAUGGUUAAUUGAAAAUAGGAUCAAAUGCUACUUUUAAGCACCUCAAUGCCAAAUCACGCAUUACCUCAUCAGUCUCUGCAAAAAUUCCAUGAAAUGAGCAAACAAAAAACUGACCGGGCGUGGUGGUGCACGCCUUUAGUUCCAGCACUCUAGAGGCAGAAGCAGGCAGAUCUCUGAGAGUUCGAAGCCAACGUGUUCUACAGUGAGUCCAAGACAGCCUUG
rnacentral:lncRNA from 1 species